rnacentral:piRNA from 1 species
UCAAUAACAUGACAUCAGCUUUAAAAAC